CCGGGCCCUACGGGGCGCAGCAGCCGCGAAACCUUUUCAAUGUGCGAAAGCACGAUAAGGGGAUUCCAAGUGCAAGCGCAUUGCGUUGGCUGUUCUCUAGCCUAAAAGGCUAGAGGUAGUAAGGACCGGGCAAGACCGGUGCCAGCCGCCGCGGUAACACCGGCGGUCCAAGUGGUGGCCACUUUUAUUGGGCCUAAAGCGUCCGUAGCCGGCCAAGUAAGUCCUUUAGGGAAUCUGGUGGCUUAACCAUCAGGCGACUGAGGGAAACUACUUGGCUUGGGACCGGGAGAGGUUCCGGGUACCCCAGGGGUAGGGGUGAAAUCCUGUAAUCCCUGGGAGACCGCCUGUGGCUAAAGCUCGGAACUAGAACGGGUCCGACGGUGAGGGACGAAAGCCAGGGGCACAAACCGGAUUAGAUACCCGGGUAGUCCUGGCCGUCAACGAUGCCUGCUAGGUGUAGGCCGUAGCACGUCUGCGGCCUGUGCCUUAGUGAAGACGUUAAGCGGGCCGCCUGGGAAGUACGUCCGCAAGGAUGAAACUUAAAGGAAUUGGCGGG
rnacentral:rRNA from 1 species